rnacentral:misc_RNA from 1 species
AAGUCGUAACAAGGUUUCCGUAGGUGAACCUGCGGAAGGAUCAUUAACACGUAUCCAACGUAAAAAACCCCCCUGUGAACAUUCAAACCUGCUCUCGUAGCCCAGUGCGAUCCAGCAAUCCCGGUAAAUCAUUGUCGAACAGUAUUGAUUCGGGACUUCUGACAAAUGAGCUGCAUGGCAUCCCGAAGCAGUCAGUGUCUGAAAGUGUCAUUGAUUGUCUAAGGAUCUCGCCUCAACGAUUGCCAGAGGUCGCUCACCGACCGGCAGACAUGCAACCGGGUCCCCACGCCCCUUUACAACCCCAUUACCUCUGUGAGUCGCGGGAAACUAGCGGCUAAAAAACCUCGAACAACUGUUAACAAUGGAUAUCUUGGUUCUC